rnacentral:rRNA from 1 species
GAUGAACGCUAGCGGCAGGCUUAAUACAUGCAAGUCGUGGGGCAGCAUGUCCCGCAGCAAUGCGGGAUGAUGGCGACCGGCAAACGGGUGCGGAACACGUACACAACCUUCCUUUUAGUGGAGAAUAGCCCAGGGAAACUUGGAUUAAUACUCCGUAACAUAUAGAAGUGGCAUCACUUUUAUAUUAUAGCAGCAAUGCGCUAGAAGAUGGGUGUGCGGCUGAUUAGAUAGUUGGCGGGGUAACGGCCCACCAAGUCGACGAUCAGUAACUGGUGUGAGAGCACGACCAGUCACACGGGCACUGAGACACGGGCCCGACUCCUACGGGAGGCAGCAGUAAGGAAUAUUGGUCAAUGGACGCAAGUCUGAACCAGCCAUGCCGCGUGGAGGAUGAAGGUCCUCUGGAUUGUAAACUUCUUUUAUCUGGGAAGAAAUCCAUUUUUUCUAAAAUGGUUGACGGUACCAGAUGAAUAAGCACCGGCUAACUCCGUGCCAGCAGCCGCGGUAAUACGGAGGGUGCAAGCGUUAUCCGGAUUCACUGGGUUUAAAGGGUGCGUAGGUGGGCAAGUAAGUCAGUGGUGAAAUCUCCGGGCUUAACCCGGAAACUGCCAUUGAUACUAU